CAGUAGCCGCGGUAAUACGGAGGGGGCUAGCGUUGUUCGGAAUUACUGGGCGUAAAGCGCACGUAGGCGGACUGGAAAGUCAGAGGUGAAAUCCCAGGGCUCAACCUUGGAACUGCCUUUGAAACUAUCAGUCUGGAGUUCGAGAGAGGUGAGUGGAAUUCCGAGUGUAGAGGUGAAAUUCGUAGAUAUUCGGAGGAACACCAGUGGCGAAGGCGGCUCACUGGCUCGAUACUGACGCUGAGGUGCGAAAGCGUGGGGAGCAAACAGGAUUAGAUACCAGCGUAGUCCCUGUCUCUUAUAC
rnacentral:rRNA from 1 species